rnacentral:rRNA from 1 species
GACGAGUUCUCGUUGAUGAUCGGUGCUUGCACCGAGAUUCAACAUGGAACGAGUGGCGGACGGGUGAGUAACACGUGGGUAACCUGCCCUUAAGUGGGGGAUAACAUUUGGAAACAGAUGCUAAUACCGCAUAGAUCCAAGAACCGCAUGGUUCUUGGCUGAAAGAUGGCGUAAGCUAUCGCUUUUGGAUGGACCCGCGGCGUAUUAGCUAGUUGGUGAGGUAAUGGCUCACCAAGGCGAUGAUACGUAGCCGAACUGAGAGGUUGAUCGGCCACAUUGGGACUGAGACACGGCCCAAACUCCUACGGGAGGCAGCAGUAGGGAAUCUUCCACAAUGGACGCAAGUCUGAUGGAGCAACGCCGCGUGAGUGAAGAAGGCUUUCGGGUCGUAAAACUCUGUUGUUGGAGAAGAAUGGUCGGCAGAGUAACUGUUGUCGGCGUGACGGUAUCCAACCAGAAAGCCACGGCUAACUACGUGCCAGCAGCCGCGGUAAUACGUAGGUGGCAAGCGUUAUCCGGAUUUAUUGGGCGUAAAGCGAGCGCAGGCGGUUUUUUAAGUCUGAUGUGAAAGCCCUCGGCUUAACCGAGGAAGCGCAUCGGAAACUGGGAAACUUGAGUGCAGAAGAGGACAGUGGAACUCCAUGUGUAGCGGUGAAAUGCGUAGAUAUAUGGAAGAACACCAGUGGCGAAGGCGGCUGUCUGGUCUGUAACUGACGCUGAGGCUCGAAAGCAUGGGUAGCGAACAGGAUUAGAUACCCUGGUAGUCCAUGCCGUAAACGAUGAAUGCUAGGUGUUGGAGGGUUUCCGCCCUUCAGUGCCGCA